UCACUAUAAGCCCUUCCCUCAGGUCCCUUCUUCAGCAUUCCUUGCUUCUCAGCAUAGCCCGAGAACCCCGAUCCCCGACACUUUGCUUCCUCUCAGCUCCCAGGUGGAUCCUGGACAGGAUGCUGCAGGUGCUGCAGGAGGGGAGUCCUGCCCCAUUUAUCGUCAACACAAUAAAAAGGGGUCGAAGAGACCGAGAGCGCCAGAGGACGCCAUGGGCUCCACAUCCGCUUGGAUUCCAGGAAGUAAGCCUCUAGACUUCAGGAGUAAGCAAGUCCAACCGUUUGAUUUGAGCCUGUUGCUUCUAAGAAAAGCGAGGAAAAAUCCUGAGACCUCCUCCCCUCGCCCUUCAUCCAUUUCAGGGGACCGAGUGUCUCCACGGAACUUCACAAGGGAGGCAAAGAGUGCACUCAUUAUUAUUUGCCUUGUCUUCGCUUCAGAGGCGGUAUAUCUACGAAAGCCCUAAUCAUAGAGGGAAAGAAUGCUCGUUCCUGGCCCAGAAAUGAGAUGAGAAAUCCAGGGCCCCGUACAGGAUGGACUUUCGUAAAGUCCAGACUCAGUUGCCUUCGCAGCCCUUAAAGUCUCUUUAAGAAGGUCUGUGGGAGAACGAGGUUGGUUUAGGAAUUGGCCCCUGCCUUGUACUACGUAGUUUUGUCAUCCAAAGUGUUUUAGAAGUGAAUUGAAUCAUAGUUCCGCCUUAUUUUGAAACAUUGUAAUUCAGAGAACUUAAAACCUUAUUAAUAUGCCCCAUAAUCAU